CAACUUCUCUCUUGUGGAAAGGUGAAGAGAUCUGUGGUUCUGAUAUUUAUUUAUCACAGGAAGUGGGAUAACACCAGUAGCGUCAUAUCAGUUCAGACCACAUUUUGCUGUUCCAUGUGCUGUUGGUGUCACCACAUUACAAAUGAGGAGACAGGCACGGAGUGUUUGCCUGUGUUCCUGCAGCAGCCGAGACCAGUCCGACCAACUCCCAGGUUGGGCAGAGGUGAAGGUCCUACAGUGGGAGAAGGUUUGAGGUGUUUGAAGAACCAACUGGCUGGAGGUGGUGAGCAGCAGGAAGUAGUAGAGGAUGAAUCAGAGGAACCUGGCAAGGCCCAGUCCUGUGAGAUCUCUGCAAACUUCACCG